AUAAAUAACUUUGAUUGUUAAUGUAAUAUUUAUUAUGAUAAUAAUAUUAUUGAUUUUGAUUAUUUAAUCAAAUUAACGGUAUUUUCACAUAAACCAGUCGUAUUUUACUAGUGCCCACCUAAUGUAACUAUGUAAGGAAUGCUUACAUGCACCCCGGGAGUUUCGAGGGUUUGGUAGAAUAAAUAUUAUCAAAUCCUCCCUUAAAUUGUCCAAAUCGAAAGACGAAUGAUUAGUCUAUAAACCUCAUCUAGUCAUCUAUAAACUUGGCCGCUAAAAAUGUACUUGCAAAACCACGUGACCAUAAUAAAGAGUGAUAAGUGAUAACGUGGAGACUGUUUUACAUUUACGCUCGUUAAUAUCCAUAUGCUAUAUUUACAUAUUAUCCUGUUUUUUAAUUAUUCUUCGAUUCUUGUAUUUUUUUUCACAAAACAAAAUUCUACACACAAUAUUACUAUUUAAAUUGUAUUUAUCUUGUACUCGAGUUUUAUAGUUUGCACGUCUUGGUGUUUUUUUAUUUUAGUAAAAUGUUGUCUAAUCUCGGUAUUUCAUUGCAACGUAAAAAGUUCAGCGUUUGAGGUCUUACAAAAAGUGUUAUACUGAUUUUAAGUCUGCAAAAGAGAGCUUCUAGAUAACCUAGAAUAACUGACUAACAUGGACUACUCAAUAAAGAUGUGUCGUUUAUUAACAAACUUGUUCAAUUGGAUGAUUCACUAUAAAGUACAAUAUUCAGAACUAUAUAUUCAGGGUGUACAUUUUAACACCCCACUGGCCACCACCUUACAGUCACACACACACACACACAUGCAGAACUUAAAAAACAAAAAAAAUAUGCGGUGUCCUGAUGCUCGAAAUGUGGAACUCAGAAGUCACUGGAACUUAACCAUUUACGAGCUGAUUUCGUAGUACCAGUAUAGCCGACCACUUUGUCAGAACGUAAUUCCAAAGAAUUUUUUCGAAUAUACAAUCUAUUGGAGAACUUGAAAAUUAGAUGCACAAGUUGAAGUGUUUCAAACAUAAGAAACUGAAAAAAAACUACAUGAAUUCUAACAGUGAAUAUUUUCAGAAUGUUACUCUUCAAUUUAUAAUUUAAUAUUGAUAAAAAUCAGUGAAGACUUAAAUAAAGUUAAUGAAAAUUAAAUUAAAAAAAGAUAAAAUAGGAUUUUGAUUUUUC